UUUUUUUUUCCUUUUUUCUU
rnacentral:sRNA from 1 species